AAGAGUAUAGUUUAAGGGUAAAAUAGAAAGCUUUAACCUUUAAAUUCUCAAUUCAAAUCUAAGUACUCUUA
rnacentral:tRNA from 1 species